rnacentral:misc_RNA from 1 species
GUAUUACAAUUAUGUUAUUGUAUAAUGCAUUCAAAUAGCUCAAGUGUUUGUAAAGGAAACAUAGACAAGGGACUGGAGUCUUUUGUCUACUGAGAAGUGCACAGGUGGAUAUUGGUUUUUGGAGUGCACAUGCCCCUGAUGAGGCCAGCACAUCCUUUAAAAAUCAAUAAUGAUCCUUCCGCAGGUUCACCUACGGAAA